CUGUUGAGAAAACCCCUUCGCAACUAACCUAGCCUUAAACUUUUCCCCUUCUUUUUCUGAUACUGGUGGCUUUUUCCUAUAGACCCACUUGCACCCUAUAGCCUUCUUUCCUUGAGGAAGUUGAGCUAACUCCCAAGUAUGAUUCUGAUGUAAAGACUCCAUCUCCUCAAUCAUACCUGCCAUCCAUUUAUCUUUCUCCUGGCUAGAAAUAGCCUCUUGAAAGGUAACUGGAUCAUUAUUAGAAACAAGAAGUGCAAAAGAAACCAUAUCCUCAAACCCAUACCUACUAGGUGGUUUGACAUUGGUGCGUCUCGAUCUAUCUCUAGCCAAACUGUAAUCUUGUAAAUUUUCUGAACUCGAACCUGCUGCAGAUGUAGAAUCUGCAACUUCUUGAGUCUCAAUCGUAGGUGGAUUAACUACUUUCUCACUCAAAGGAUCCCAAAACUUAUAUCCUUUUACACCUUUCUUGUAACCCAAAAAGAUGCACUUCUUCGACUUGGGAUCUAACUUUGAUCUCUCAUCA